rfam:Pediococcus cellicola strain DSM 17757 Scaffold1, whole genome shotgun sequence.
GGACCAGUAGCUCAGCUGGAUAGAGCAUCCGCCUUCUAAGCGGAGGGUCGUGAGUUCGAAUCUCACCUGGUUCA